ACAAUCCGCUCUUAUGACAAAUUUGUGC
rnacentral:sRNA from 1 species